rnacentral:rRNA from 1 species
AUGACAACAGUGGAUCUCAACAAUCUUGCGUAUGCAGACGAACCGUUCGUCCUAGCCAAUGAUGUGGCACAAGUUAUCUAUGUGAAGGACAUGUCUACCAAACCGAGAAAAAGAAAAGAUAAGGAAGCGAAUACAUCAUACGAUGAGCCAAAGUGCCACAUAGUUCUUUUAGGAAAAAGGGACAUCGUGGGAGUGGAGGGCAAGACAGACAUAUCUGAAGAUUAUGAAAAGUUUCAUGAAAUUCCUCCCUUCAAAGUCAAGGCUGACCCAAGCAUCCUGAUAAACCAUGAAGAUUAUCCAUGGUUACGGCGCAAUAAGCAAAUGACACAAGCGAGGAAAAAGUGA